rnacentral:rRNA from 1 species
GGUUAAGCGACUAAGCGUACACGGUGGAUGCCCUGGCAGUCAGAGGCGAUGAAGGACGUGCUAAUCUGCGAAAAGCGUCGGUAAGGUGAUAUGAACCGUUACAGCCGGCGAUGUCCGAAUGGGGAAACCCAGUGUGAUUCGUCACACUAUCGUUAACUGAAUACAUAGGUUAACGAGGCGAACCGGGGGAACUGAAACAUCUAAGUACCCCGAGGAAAAGAAAUCAACCGAG